UACGUAGGUGGCAAGCGUUGUCCGGAUUUACUGGGCGUAAAGAGCGCGCAGGCGGUUGGGUAAGUCGAAUGUGAAAGCCCCCGGCUCAACUGGGGAGGGUCAUUCGAUACUGUCCGACUCGAAGGCAGGAGAGGGAGGCGGAAUUCCCGGUGUAGUGGUGAAAUGCGUAGAUAUCGGGAGGAACACCAGUGGCGAAGGCGGCUUUCUGGCCUGUUCUUGACGCUGAGGCGCGAAAGCCAGGGGAGCAAACGGG
rnacentral:rRNA from 1 species